rnacentral:lncRNA from 1 species
AGGCAAUUUGAUAUCAUAAUAGAGCACUGCAGACACAAUGCUGAGUGAAGAGGAGUAGAAAUGGGAAGACUUGGUUGAGCAGAAACUGAAUUCUUGAAAAGAGGAGAUGCUCGAUGAGGGAUCAGACUGUAUUCCCCAGGCUGGAGUGCAGUGGCAUGAUCAUGGCUCAAUGCAGCCUAAACCUCCUGGACUCAGGUGAUCCUUUCACCUCCACUUCCUGAGUAGCUGGGACUACAGGUACAUGCCACCAUGCCUGACUUUUUUUUUUUUUUUUUUUUUGGUAGAGACAGGGACUUGCUAAAUUGCCUAAAUUGCUAAUUGCUAAAUUGGUCUUGAACUCUCAGGCUCAAGAGAUCCUCCUGCCUCAGCCUCCCAGAGUGCUGGGAUUAGAGUU